UUUUAGUCCACAGCUUUAUUAAAUUAUAAAUAAAAUAAAUAAGGAAUAACAAAUGGGGUCAUUGCCAACAGACCUUAUUAAAGUUAACAUCCCCCAUGUACAUAAUGUUCCCCUAGCAAUGACCCCCCCCAAUAAUAAUAAUAGAUAACAAUCCAAAUAACAUGUUAAUACAGAAACUGGCCGCCCAAUAUGGCCAUGUUUCCACCUGGUUAAAUUGUAGGGGUGUACCGAGACACCGCUACCCACCAUAUCAAUUGUAGGGGUGUACCAAGACACCGCUACCCACCAUAUCAAUUGUUGGGGUGUAACAAGACACCGCCACCCACCAGUUCCCAUGUAGGGUGUACCAAGACACCACCACACCCCCAUGUUCGGAGCCACCAACGAGCUCGAACCUACCAACCAGGUGCAACACUGUCCAAUCCACACUAAAACCACAGGAUGCCCACUUUCUCCUCCAUCUGCCCUCCGAUUUAACCAGGCCAUUCCCCGCCACAGCUCAGUACUUGACACCUAAAGCUCCUGAUCGACCCCCACCACCAGAAGAAGGCCCAAUCUAAACAGAUCAUCCCUUACAACCGAAACGUACCCCAUCCACCUUGGAGUACCCAGGGAGCUUGCUUCCCAAUCCAAUGCGUCUCCCCGUUACACCGCCCCCCACUUCCAAUAAAUACCGCCAUCAAUUGUUAUGGACAACGAGCCACCACGACUGGGACCCUAGUUUGUUUCCAAUGUAACCGAAGA